AGCGAACGCUGGCGGCAGGCUUAACACAUGCAAGUCGAGCGCCCCGCAAGGGGAGCGGCAGACGGGAGAGUACCACGUGGGAACAUACCUUUUGGUUCGGAACAACUGAGGGAAACUUCAGCUAAUACCGGAUAAGCCCUUACGGGGAAAGAUUUAUCGCCGAAAGAUUGGCCCGCGUCUGAUUAGCUAGUUGGUGAGGUAACGGCUCACCAAGGCGACGAUCAGUAGCUGGUCUGAGAGGAUGAGCAGCCUCACUGGGACUGAGACACGGCCCAGACUCCUACGGGAGGCAGCAGUGGGUAAUAUUGGACAAUGGGGUCAACCCUGAUCCAGCCAUGCCGCGUGAGUGAUGAAGGCCUUAGGGUUGUAAAGCUCUUUUGCCCGGGAAGAUAAUGACGGUACCGGGAGAAUAAGCCCCGGCUAACUUCGUG
rnacentral:rRNA from 1 species